rnacentral:rRNA from 1 species
UACGAAGGGGGCUAGCGUUGCUCGGAAUCACUGGGCGUAAAGGGUGCGUAGGCGGGUCUUUAAGUCAGGGGUGAAAUCCUGGAGCUCAACUCCAGAACUGCCUUUGAUACUGAAGAUCUUGAGUUCGGGAGAGGUGAGUGGAACUGCGAGUGUAGAGGUGAAAUUCGUAGAUAUUCGCAAGAACACCAGUGGCGAAGGCGGCUCACUGGCCCGAUACUGACGCUGAGGCACGAAAGCGUGGGUAGCAAACAGG